GGAAAGAUGAAAAGAACUUUGAAAAGAGAGUUAAACAGUACGUGAAAUUGUUGAAAGGGAAACGAUUGAAGUCAGUCAUACCAACGGGAAAUCAACCUUUUGAGCUUUGUCUCGUGGGUUCGAAGAGUUUAAACGCCUUCGGGUUCGCGAGAUUGGGAUCUUCUGGUGUACUUUCUCGUACGGUUAGUCAACAUCGGUUUUGAAUGUCAUAAAAUGACUGGAGGAAUGUAGCUUCGAUCUCGUAUCGAAGUGUUAUAGCCUUUGGUAGAUGUGAUGUUUGAGACUGAGGAUUGCAACGGAUACCCUUCAUGGGCUAUUCGUCUGAUCUCUGAUACGUUGCCUUGACGUUGAAAGCUUGCUUAUGAUGUUAGGGUAUUACGGUCAAAAGGUUAGAACGGAUUAAAUUCGUUAAGGAUGUUGACGUAAUGACUUUAAACGACCCGUCUUGAAACACGGACCA
rnacentral:rRNA from 2 species